GCAUUUGCUUGGCAGCUCACCCACUAAAAUUUGAACCAUAUAGAGAUGAACAUGGUCCCUGCGCUAAAGUGUCAUGCAAAUUUGUGACACCUUCCAUAUUUUU